GGGCUUCUUCAUCCGGAUCUUGCAUGAACUCCGUUCCAGUCAUCUGGGCAAGGAUGCGAAAAGACUUGGACUGCAGGUUGGCAGAACGGCGGCCCCAGUCUUCAGUUUCAUCUUCAGGCUUGUUCUGAGUUUUGAGAACAGCCUGAUACACCGGAGAUGCACUGUCUACGUGAGGAUCUUUAAUAGGAAGGGUACCAGCAAAUUCUCCACCUUGGGCUUGUGCCUGGCCUGCAAUUGCAUCCAUGAUGGCAUCUUGGGAAUACAUGCUGAUUGGGGUGUUAUACUGGGCGUGAAUUAUAGUAGCCUUGCCGCCUAGGCCUUUCACCUCAAUGGGUUUGUGUGUAGAUAGGGCAGAGUCCUUCAGGACACUGGGGUUGAAACGCUCCGUGAAAUCCGUGUUGGAAGUGGU
rnacentral:lncRNA from 1 species